rnacentral:rRNA from 1 species
AGCGUUUGACAUGGUAGGACGGUUUCCAGAGAUGGAUUCCUUCCCUUACGGGACCUACACACAGGUGCUGCAUGGCUGUCGUCAGCUCGUGUCGUGAGAUGUUGGGUUAAGUCCCGCAACGAGCGCAACCCUCGUCUCUAGUUGCUACCAUUUAGUUGGGCACUCUAGAGAAACUGCCGGUGAUAAGCCGGAGGAAGGUGGGGAUGACGUCAAGUCCUCAUGGCCCUUACGCGCUGGGCUACA